UUAACAUACCAUGCUCAAUGUAGUUAAAAGUAAAAUGACAAUUAUAAAAAAGAGAAUGCAAAAGAAAUAUGUAAACUGGUUUUAUUAACUGAAUUACCUUAAAGAUAGGACAAUUUGUGUGCUCCUACUGAGGAUUUCCGCUUGUAAUUCAAGACAAAAAUUUGCAUGAGUCUAAGCUCAUAUAGCAAAUUACUCAUACAAUGGGGCACUCAUAC